UCCCCCCCCCCCCCCCCAAAACAAAACUCUAUCUCUCCGUCUCUUUGCCUAUAUUCUCACGAUCUCUCAAACUAUCAGCCUUCUUACACACUCUCUCUCUCAGCGAGCUUGAUUUGGAUUGGUCUCUCUCAGGUUGGAAUCUCGAUUUCUAGCUUUGUAAUCUCGAUUUCAAGUUCUAUAGUCCCGAUUCUGGUGUGCCUUUUAGUUUCCUGGAGUUUCUUUCUACGAAUUUUGUUCAAUUAAUUAUUUAUUGAUUUUUUGUGCCUCUUGAUUUUUUAUUUCAUUCGUGUGUCCUGCUGUUUGAUUGGUCUUGGUAGCUAUUUUAGUUGUCGGGCUUUGUUCAUAUUUGAGCUUUGUUUCUGGGUUCUCUGCAUCUGCCUACGACGAGCCUCACACUCACCACCACGGUUGCGGUUAUGGCAUUGGACACGACCAUGGCCACGAAGAGGAGAAAUCUGGUCCUUGACAUAGCCAUCAGAGACUUUGUUUUCAUCUUCCUUGCUACUUCUUUUACAACUGCUACUCCAACAUAACCUUAUUGUGAUUUUAUGUAUUUGUUAUUGGAUAAUGUAGCUUAACUGUUGGAUUGAUUUUAGAGGAAAAGAAAAGAACAAUUUAUGCAUGCUUAAAAGUUAAUUCCUUCUUUGUUACUUAAUGUUGAUGAUGAUUGUAUUUAACUGGAAGGCUUAUGUUAAAUUGGAUAUAGAAUUUCACCAACAGGUUCGGGUUCCCGGUGUUGGUUUAAGGUAUUGGUUGACUUAAAGAAAUCAAAGGACGACAAUUCAAAACUGUUGAAGGCUAGAAAAUUUACGGCGUUUGAAGGGGAUUGUAAGAUUGCAAAUAAUGGCCCAAGCUUAUCAUGUUACAAAGCAAGCUACAACCAUAUUGAGCUAUCUUUACUCAUGGAGCAAAGUACGGCUGAUGUUAAAGCUCGCCAACUCUGUAUGGUAACAGGAGACGGAUCAAGCGGAACAAAUAGAGAGUCGACAAAUACUUGAGGCAAAGUGUCAUUAUAUAAAGGAGAAGGAAUGAUCGCAUUUGGAAGAGGAAGCAAGAGGCCCCGGGAGUUGUGGCGCAAAGAGUCGUGGCAUGGUUGUAGGAGUUCCAGGCGGUGGCAGACCUUGCACUCGUGGCACAGUAGCGGACGCCUAGGAUUAGGUAAGGGGAUGAAAGUGGUUCGAUGGCUGGGGAGGUGGCGGAGGACUGGGUGAGAGUGAAUGUGGAUGAAGCUACUAAAAUGCAGGCUCAGGUUGGUGGAGCUGGUACGGUGAUUCGUGACUCGCAGGGCGCUUUUGUGGCUGCAACGACAUGCUUUCUUUCCAAUGUUUCUUUGGCUCUUCAUGCUGAAUUGUUAGCAAUUAAGAAUGGAAUGGAGUUGGCUCAACAGCUUGGCUAUCAAAAGGUUUAAGUCGAAAGUGAUUCUUCUCAAGCAAUUUUUGUUAGAAUUCCUUUGUCCCACAUCGGCCAGAAGGCUUGAGAACAAGUCAUUUAUAUAGAAUUACCCCACUCUAACUAACACCGAGACCUUUGUAUUAAAACCCCACACCUGACAGAUUGAGCAGGUGGCCAAGUGAGGACAGUAUUGGUGUUCUUCUGAUAGUGGAAAUGACGGCAACCCGACCACUGCUCCAUCAACCACAUUCAGAUCCUCCCUUGAAUUCUCUAUCCCUCAUUCCCUAAGCAAAUCAUUCACUGCCUACAUCAGUUUAUAUAUGUUAUCUAUAUCAGGGAUCAUGUUACAAAUCACAAAAUCCAAAAUCUUACAAACAUUAUGAUUCCUCCAUACGUAUUCUUAUACUAAUUAAACCCUAA